UCUUCUACCCAUUUUAUGCUUCUCCACGCCUGCUCCUCAGGGGAGAGGAGGAAUGCAGUCAAAUGGAUUUGUGCAUUAGCAGCAGGCCAAGAAUAACUCCUGCUUCUAACUAACACGGUAAUUUCCAAGAUGCUGAUGCAUCCAAGAGAAGUCAAUGGAGCUUCACCGCUCGGCAACAGGUUGCCAUUUCCUGAGCUGCAGCUUGGCUCCUUUUCUCUGAUCUAUUUCCCCGAAACCACGGAGAGCAAAGGAAUCCCGAGUUUCAGUCCUGCAACCUGGAGAGCCAGGGACCAGUUUAUUUCUAAAUAUGCAUCUUAGCUGGAUGAUGUCAAGCGAUGGAACUCAGCGGAAAGUGGAAGAUUGUUGCAGGAUGUGUGUGUUCCUAUUUGGGAAGCAGCAAAACAGCAAAGGUGUGCAUCCUUGAGAUAUCCACCAGCAUCCCACUGCUGGAUAAUCAUCACCACAACGUCCUUAGGCCUCACAAUUGUGGGGGCACCUCAUCAAUUAUUUGUUUGCUUGUUUAGUAUUAAAAAUAAUAAACCGUCACCUGUACGGAGA